UACAGAGGUCCCAAGCGUUGUUCGGAUUUACUGGGCGUAAAGGGCGCGUAGGCGGCUCCAAAAGUCAGGGGUGAAAUCCGGCAGCUUAACUGUCGCAGUGCCUUUGAUACUGUGGAGCUAGAGGGAGGUAGGGGUCUGUGGAACUUCCGGUGGAGCGGUGAAAUGCGUUGAUAUCGGAAGGAACGCCGGUGGCGAAAGCGACGGACUGGAUCUCUUCUGACGCUGAGGCGCGAAAGCCAGGGGAGCAAACGGG
rnacentral:rRNA from 1 species